CUGUUUGAGCCCGGAAGCGCAGAAGCUGGCGGAGGCCCGGCUCGCUGCAAAACGGGCGGCCCGCGCGGAGGCUCGCGAGAUCCGCAUGAAGGAGCUGGAGCGGCAGCAGAAGGAGAUCUAUCAGGUCCAAAAGAAGUAUUAUGGGCUGGAUACAAAAUGGGGUGACAUCGAGCAGUGGAUGGAAGACAGUGAGCGCUACUCUCGUAGAUCCAGAAGAAACACAUCGGCUUCUGAUGAAGACGAGCGCAUGUCAGUGGGUAGUCGUGGAAGCCUGAGGCCCUCCUGUCUGUACAGCACUGCCCGGCCUUCGGGGAGUUACCGGGCGUCUGUGUUGGAUGAAGGCAGCUUCAGUGGGGCCCGACGGGGCAGCACCUGCGGCUCCCGUGCUCACGCCAACAAUACUAACAGGUCGUGAAAUCGUCUUCAAUUAAUAAAAACAGAAAAAGGGCAAUUUGACAGGCCACACAUCAUUCUCG
rnacentral:sRNA from 1 species